UACGGAGGGUGCAAGCGUUAAUCGGAAUUACUGGGCGUAAAGCGUGCGCAGGCGGUUUGUUAAGUCCGUUGUGAAAGCCCCGAGCUCAACUUGGGAAUUGCAGUGGAUACUGGCAGGCUGGAGUACGGUAGAGGAAGGUGGAAUUCCCGGUGUAGCAGUGAAAUGCGUAGAUAUCGGGAGGAACACCAGUGGCGAGGGCGAUCAUCUGGGGUUGUUCUGACACUGAGGAGCGAAAGCUAGGGGAGCAAACGGG
rnacentral:rRNA from 1 species